rnacentral:rRNA from 1 species
AGUGGCGCACGGGUGAGUAACGCGUGGGUCAUCUACCUUUAAGAAGGGGAUAACUUCGCGAAAGCGGGGCUAAUACCCUAUAAAGCUUUAGUUCUCAUGAGGACUGAAGCCAAAGGUGGGGAUCGUUGGACCUGCUACUUAAAGAUGAGCCCGCGUACCAUUAGCUUGUUGGUAGGGUAAUGGCCUACCAAGGCGACGAUGGUUAGUUGGUCUGAGAGGAUGGCCAGCCACACUGGAACUGAAACACGGUCCAGACUCCUACGGGAGGCAGCAGUGAGGAAUUUUGCGCAAUGGGGGAAACCCUGACGCAGCAACGCCGCGUGAGUGAUGAAGGCUUUCGGGUCGUAAAGCUCUGUCAGGUGGGAAGAAAUGCUCAGAAGUGAAUAACUUUUGGGCCUGACGGUACCAUCAGAGGAAGCACCGGCUAACUCCGUGCCAGCAGCCGCGGUAAGACGGAGGGUGCAAGCGUUGUUCGGAAUCAUUGGGCGUAAAGGGCGUGUAGGCGGUCAGAUAAGUCAGAUGUGAAAUCCCUGGGCUCAACCCAGGAAGUGCAUCUGAAACUAUUUGACUUGAGUACGGGAGAGGGAAGUGGAAUUCCUGGUGUAGGGGUGAAAUCCGUAGAUAUCAGGAGGAACACCGGUGGCGAAGGCGACUUCCUGGACCGAUACUGACGCUGAUACGCGAAAGCAUGGGGAGCAAACAGGAUUAGAUACCCUGGUAGUCCAUGCCGUAAACGUUGGGCACUUGGUGUAGCGGGUAUUGACCCCUGCUGUGCCGAAGCUAACGCAUUAAGUGCCCCGCCUGGGGAGUACGACCGCAAGGUUGAAACUCAAAGGAAUUGACGGGGGCCCGCACAAGCGGUGGAGCAUGUGGUUUAAUUCGACGCAACGCGAAGAACCUUACCUGGGUUUGACAUCCUUGGAACCCCGCUGAAAGGUGGAGGUGCCCGCAAGGGAGCCAAGUGACAGGUGCUGCAUGGCUGUCGUCAGCUCGUGUCGUGAGAUGUUGGGUUAAGUCCCGCAACGAGCGCAACCCUCGUCUCUAGUUGCCAUCAUUAAGUUGGGCACUAUAGAGAGACUGCCUCGGUUAACGAGGAGGAAGGUGGGGAUGACGUCAAGUCCUCAUGGCCUUUAUAUCCAGGGCUACACACGUGCUACAAUGGGCGAUACAAAGGGCUGCAACACCGCGAGGUGAAGCCAAUCCCAAAAAAUCGCUCUCAGUUCGGAUCGAAGUCUGCAACUCGACUUCGUGAAGGCGGAAUCGCUAGUAAUCGUGGAUCAGCAUGCCACGGUGAAUACGUUCCCGGGCCUUGUACACACCGCCCGUCACACCACGAAAGUCAACUGUACCAGAAGUUGUUGAGCUAACC